ACACAUGAUAUUACUAUAUUGCAGACGGACCAGAACAAGUUGGUUUUACACAGUCAGACAACGCUGUAGCUUUCGAGAAAAGAAACCUGACCUUGACUUGUACUACCACUGCUUAUCCCAACCUGACCUUCACCUGGGACUACAGUGAUGGAACCCCUGUAGGUGGCAGCACGGGGCCUGUGGCAGGAUCUUCGACCCGGUGGUCCCAAACUCUCACCUUCAGGCCAAAUAAAGACAAGACUGCUGUGAGGUGUAAGGUCAGAAACACCAGUACAUCAGCAACUCAGGCUGGUUUUGCGUCUCUGGAAGUCAAGUACCCACCACCUGUCCCUCCUUCCAUCACAAAGUUUCAGACUCUGAUGUUUGAAGGAGACCAAGAGACAAUCAUCUGCUCGGUGACAGGAGGAAAUCCUCUAGCUACUAUCACGUGGUCCUGUCCAGGCACUGGAUCAGCAUCGGUCAGUGACAGUGGUCAGACCAGGACAUCUACCCUCUCCUUCACUGUCAGCAGGAGUCAGAACGGUCAGCAGUGUCAGUGUCUGGGGGCGUGGCAGUAUGGGGGAUACAACCAAUCUGAUGUCAGGACCUUCAGUGUCAGUUGUCCCACAAACCCACAACCACUCAAUGCCGAAUAUAACAUGGCAGGUGUAAUAGCAGGAAGCACAAUAGGAACCCUCCUUCUUACCUUGCUGAUUGGAGGACUAGUUCUGAUUGUCCUCUAUAGGAAGGGGUUCAGGUUUGGGAACGUCUUGAAAGGAUCUGCUUAACCAAAAAGGAUCAGACAUCCCGAAAUUGAAGAAAUGGAAAACAUUGGUUAUUCAUCCUUGGAUCAGAUCAACAGUCAAACUCAGUACUCAAACAUGGAUAGAGAGGUGUCGGAAAAACAACAUUACACACAGUUGAAGAUUUAUGAAAAUACAAACGUCGAGCUCAAAGCAGAAACAAGUACCUACGAAGACAUGACAGAAGCUCCUCCGGUAUCCUACGAGUCCAUCGGAGCAUCUCCAUACCAAAACAGCGGCGCUCAACCUCAAGAUCCUGACUAUGGAAACAAGUGAACAAGCUCUAGAUGUGAUGACAUAAAUGGAUAAGAAUACACAUUGCGUGAACUGAAAAUUCUGUUUAACUUUCAUAAAGUAUUAUUUAUUUCAACAUAUGACUGUUAUCUUCCAGUAUUUACCGUUGUUAUUUAACAUAUUAUCUGCAUUGCAUUAUAUUAACACAUAACACAAGAUAUUGUUGUAUCCAUAACACUUGCAUGGGCUUUAGUGGCUGACACAACAAACUAUCUGUCACUUAAUUUGCUGCAUUUUCUUUGUCACUUUUUCAUAAGUUUGUUUUCAAUGAGUGGAUACAUAUACAAUAUUUAUUAUAGUAUACUAUAGUAUAAUACAUAUAACAAUAACAAAGUUUGCCAUUAGCUAUAAUUGUCCAAAUAAUGUUAUGGUCUAUAUGUUAAAUCAGUGUUCUGGUAAUGCACGUCAGAAGUGAUAUGGCGGUCUGUAUACAUUUUAUGCAUUCUGUAUCAAUUCUCAUUUUGCCUUACUUUUAAGGACACAAUGGCCUGACUUAACGUUGUAUAUGAUUAAUUAUCGCAUUUUAUUACCAACGUUUUUACUUACUACUGGUUAUAAAGAGGUACGUCGUUCGUUGUCUUGUUUGUUUGGGAUCCAAUUCUCAUAGGAAAUAAAAACUGAUUCACACUAAA
rnacentral:misc_RNA from 1 species